UGAGGAAUAUUGGGCAAUGGGCGCAAGCCUGACCCAGCCACGCCGCGUGUGUGAUGAAGGCUUUCGGGUCGUAAACCACUGUCAGGAGGGAAGAAUGUCCGGCUCUCAAUAGGAGUCGGGCUUGACGGUACCUCCAAAGGAAGCACCGGCUAACUCCGUGCCAGCAGCCGCGGUAACACGGAGGGUGCGAGCGUUGUUCGGAAUCACUGGGCGUAAAGCGCGCGUAGGCGGUCGUGUAAGUCGCGUGUGAAAUACCGGGGCUCAACCCCGGGACUGCAUGUGAUACUGGCGAGCUAGAGUGUGGUAGAGGGUAGUGGAAUUCCCGGCGUAGCGGUGAAAUGCGUAGAUAUCGGGAGGAACAUCAGUGGCGAAGGCGGCUACCUGGACCAACACUGACACUGAGGCACGAAAGCGUGGGGAGCAAACAGGAUUAGAUACCCUGGUAGUCCACGCGGUAAACGAUGAGAACUAGAUGUUGGGGGAAAUUGUCCUUCAGUGUCGCAGCUAACGCGUUAAGUUCUCCGCCUGGGGAGUACGCCGGCAACGGUA
rnacentral:rRNA from 1 species